CCUAUCCGACCUAGGCAUCUUGCUGAGAGAGACAUACGUCCAGCAGCAGAUUCCAUCCGCCAAUCUACUCUUUUCUCUAUCUUUUGUUUUAGAUUUCAUUCAUCCAAUUCCAUAAAAACCAAAAGAAUCAUAUCUUGUUCUGUUCUUGUUCCUAUUGAAAACUCACUAAAGGUUCCUAUCUGUUUCAGGAUCGAACACAAGCAAGAGACGAGCCGGCCGGUACCAUCCAUCCGAGGCAAGGUUGAACCGCGGAACGGCCAUCCGUCCAUCCGUUCGACCCUCCGACCCGUGCCUACAACAUUUUGGUAUCAGAGCUGAAGUUUCCUGCGAAACUCAGUUCUUUCUGAACCCUAGCCGUCACA
rnacentral:lncRNA from 1 species